CCAAGUCUUUUGGGCUUUUGCCUAUGUCAUUUUGACAGAACCACAAAUAGAGCACAGGUUCCAAAUUCAAACGGAAGUCCUACACAUCAAAGCAUUUAUACAACAAAUCGAUAGGUUAUAUAUCGUCCUGCAGUUUCACUUGGCCUGAUGAUCUUCACGACUUGCCCCCGCUUCAGCCCAAAAUAUCUAGCAAUUGGGUCAGAUACCUGAAUGCGAGGCAACUGUGUUUCUUUCACAGUGUAUCUCUCCAACAAUGUCUUCUUCUCUUCACUUGUAAGCACCUGAUGCUCAGGUACAAGAACAUGUUCUUUAAUGUUGACCAAAAGUUCAGCCUCCUGGAAGACCUCCAAUUGGAAUUUAGCAGCUAUCUCAGAUAUACACGUUCGAGCAAAAGGAGUCAAAUUCUGUUGAACAACCAAUAUUGCUCUAAAAACAUUCUCAGACUUCAUGCGGUUGGUAUAAGUCUUCAUUGUCUUGACUCCAACCUUCUGUUCCUCAGGAAAGAAAACAUAAAUCUGAUCAGAGGCAUCAUUGCGCUUUGAUUUGUUGAUAACAAGAUCUUCCCUUUUCAUGUUCUCACCAAAUUUCGAAAUGAACUGCUCCCUUGUCAUGUUGAUCUCAAAGUCUCCAACAAAAUAACCCCUAUCCUUGAGCAUUUGCAUUACCGUCUUUCGAAUUCUGAAAAGCCUCUUAAUUUCAUCCUCCGAUAGAGUCAUUUUUUCGCUGGGAGGGGAUUUCUUCUUUGCAGCGUAGGAUGAGCAGCGGCAAAGGAGUUGCAGGCGAGAAACUCCAGGCGACGGUUUCCUGUGCUGCAGCUACAAUGAUGGGCGAGACCAAAAGAAAGAGGAGGAAAAGAUGAGGGAUUCUGUGCAAUGCAGAGACAACGACUCGGUGAUAAUAAGAGGGAAGAGCUGCUGACUGAGGGAUUAGGUUUACA
rnacentral:misc_RNA from 1 species